rnacentral:tRNA from 1 species
GGGCAGUUAGUUAAAACAAAACAUUUGAUUUCGGCUCAAAAGUCUGUGGUUCGAGUCCACAACCGCCCA